AACGAACGCUGGCGGCGUGUCUAAGACAUGCAAGUCGCACGGGAUAAGACAUGUAGUAAUACUUGUUUUAUUUAGUGGCGCACGGGUGAGUAACACGUGAAUUACAUGCCCUAUAGUGGGGAAUAGCCCAGGGAAACUUGGAUUAAUACCCCAUGGUAUCGAAAGAUUAAAGGUGGCCGCAAGGCUGUCGCUAUAGGAUUGGUUCGCGCCCUAUCAGCUUGUUGGUGAGGUAACGGCUCACCAAGGCAAUGACGGGUACCUGGUCUGAGAGGACGAUCAGGGACACUGGAACUGAGACACGGUCCAGACACCUACGGGUGGCAGCAGUCGAGAAUAAUUCACAAUGGGGGCAACCCUGAUGGUGCAACGCCGCGUGGAGGAUGACGGUCUUUGGAUUGUAAACUCCUGUCAUCUGGGAGAAAGACCUGACGGUAAAUAGCCGGCAGGGUUGAUAGUACCAGAAGAGGAAGGGACGGCUAACUUCGUGCCAGCAGCCGCGGUAA
rnacentral:rRNA from 1 species